CUCUCUCUCUCUCUCUCUCUCUCUCCCUCUCUCUCUCUCCCUCUCUCAUCCGUCUGCUCUCAUCUCUUCUCAUUCGCUGGAUGCCGGAUCGUCGCUCGCUGUCAGUUCAUUUGCCGCGGCAGAGCAACAACUGGCUUCUUUCUGCGCCGGGAGAGGAGGAGAGAGGAAGGUGUGAGCAGCAGAAAGAAGAGUGGUGGCAGUAAGAGGGGACGAAGAAGAAGGAGAAGAAGAAGAAGAAGACGGAGGAGUGGAUGGGGAAAAGGGGAGAAAGAAGGAGGAGAAGAAAAAGAAGAAGAGAAGGGAAAGAGGAGGAGUUCUUUUGUUGAGCAUCCGUCGCUGCCCUCAUCCUCUCUCCGCAGCAUCAGCACCAGCGCUGCCUCCGCUGCUGCUCCUGCUGCUGCUGGAUGCUCUCCGUCUCCUGCCGGGAUCUGCCUCCUCCUCCUCCUCCUCCUCCUCCUCCUCCUCCUCAUUCCUCCUCCUCCUCCUCCUCCUUCUCCUCCUUCUCCUCGGGGAGCUCUUCCUGGAACUGGGAGGGGGGCGGGAGAUCACCACCUCCCAGAUUGCCACGGACUCGGCAAAGGCAUCGUCAGGAGGGAGAGAAGGAAGGGAGGAAAGAAAGAAAGAAAGAAAGGAAGGAAGAAAGAAAGAAAGGAAGAAAGAAAGACAGAAAGAAAGAAAGGGAGGGAAGAGGCGCAUCAGGAGAGGAGAGGCAACACCCUGGGAGAGAAGAAGAGAGAGGCCUCCCCCCCUCCCAACCCAACCUAACCCAACCCAACCCUUCCCUUCCUCCCAGAUCUCGUUACGCCCCGAUUGGGCCCAGCAAGGAAGGAAGCAAGGAAGCAAGAAAGGAAGGAAGGAAGCCUGAUGUGAGUGGAUGAGGCCUUCCAGGAGCAGCCGGGCCGCGGUCCAGAGGAGCCAUUGAUGGAGCGUUGCCUCACGCUGCAGCGAGGCGUCUUCAAUCAAUGGAACUGCCCCACUUUCUCUGUGUGUGUUUGUGUCUGUUUGCCACCGGGGGCCUGAGAGGGGGCUGCUGAUGGUGGCGAUGGUGGCGAUGGUGGCGAUGGUGGUGGUGGUGGUGAUGAACGUGAUGCGAUGGCAGUGGCGCUGCUCGCGUGGUUUCUGGCUUAGCUCGCCGUGUUUACUGAAAGACUCUCUUCGGUGACGGGUAUUCUUGGGUGGAUAAUACGGAUCACGUUGUUAUUGCUUAAGAAUACGCGUAGUCGAGGAGAGUCCUCUCUUCGCCCAAUACCAGCAACACCCCCAGCCCCCGACACCCACCCACCUCACCUCACCCGACAACACACCCACCCUUGGAUUGGAGGUCGGGUGAAGCCACACCCCCAUGCUCCACCUUUCUGAAAAGAAACACACCCACCUCUCCUCCGUUGAUUUGUUCUGCAGUGUCUCUUCUCUACUCUGAGGCCGGACUGUCCUCACAUGUGUCCCACCCUACACCUGUCAGUCUGUCUUUGUCUCCGUGGCGAUAGGCAGCGCUGUGUGUAUGUGUGUGUGUGUGUGUGUGUGUUGUUGUCUACCUGUGUGUGUUUGUCGGAGAUUUCCCUGGACAUUGUUGGGUCUCGGCUCCCUCUGACUCUGCAUGAACAGCGUCUGUCCCCGUGUUGCAAGGCCAGCAUGACAGCAUGAACACCUCCCUGUAUGUCGGGGGCCUGUUUCAUUCGUCCGAAAACGUUCGUCUGUGAAGCAGAGCGAGCUGUUGCUGCAGAUCAGUUCAGUGCCACCAUCAGGAGGAACAGGUCUGGAUUAUCUGCUGGAAGAUAAUGAGCACGUGGCCUCAUCCACCCAGCAACAAACACAUACAAACACAGCUAGCCGCGCUUAGCUUCACCAAAAAAAAAGGGAUUUAAAAAAAAAAAGAAAUGUAUAAAAUUAAAUACAGCUCUGGAUUCUUGGCCACUCUGUCUGGAUCCUAAUUCUGACUCUAUUCUCAAUUAUUAAUUACACAAUGUUUCAGAAGAAAUCCAGAUCAUAAAUAGGACUAGUUUUAAAUGAAUAAAAACAGCAUAACAGUAUUUUAUUUUAUUCUAGUUUAUUCUAUAUCACUUCUUCUCUAAAAUACGAGAGAAACUACACAAACUCUUUAGUUAAAAUUGUCAUUUUUUAGUCUAAAACACAAAGAUGCUCCAAACAGGAAAAGGAGAAUAAAUGGAAUAAAGCAUUUAAAUGAAAAAACUAAAUACGUCAUCCAGCUUACAGGCUUUUUAGUGUAAUUUUAUUGGGAUAGUUUAGGACUGAAAGAUUUAAUUACAUUUUAAUGUAUUUAUUAUGAUAAAAACAUAACACAUAUAUAUAUAUUUGUAUCCAUAUAUAUGUAUUGUGUGACUUGGCCCCGAGGAGGCUUGUGAUAUUUAACUGUAUAUCCACUGGUUAUUGAGUGGAACCUCUUUUUAUUCUAAUCCAUGUAGUGCAUUUAUUAUGGGGGCUGAUCCGAGCCGAGCUGCCUCUUACUUUCCCCCCUUUAUGCCCCUUUUUUAUGCAAAUCGCUGCUCAAAUGACAUUUAUCGCAGUGAGGUUUACGCCACGUGUAACGCUGCUGCUGCUGCUGCUGCUGCUGCUGAGCCUCGCUCACACACGGCUGAGAAAACAAAAUGUCCACCACGAGCGGUCGACAGCUCAAUUUAUGCAUUGAGGAGAGAAGCGUCUAGAUAAACAAUUACCCCUGGCUCAAAUGGUCUAUAACCAGCUCUUUCCGUGUUGCCGGCCGGGGCGACGCGCCAUGAAUAUGGAUUCCCUCUCCCCCACGUCUGAUGGCACAUUCUGAACCUUAACACCCAUGUAAAAUCCAUUUAAACACCUAAUAGGAUCAACUUGACUCAUACAGCCACGUCCUCACACAUGUCACCUCCAAUGAUCAUGCACUGGGGAUUUCCAUACACAGUGGAAAUCAUCAUUUGACACAGUCCUCUAAAGCCGGUGUGGAAUAUGAAAAGAAGCCGCCUCACUGUCGCAGAGAGUUGGUGUUUUUAAAGUUAGCCGCAGAGACGUAAUUAUACAAAUCAUCCCAGUCAGCCAUUACCGUUGCAGAUUAUUCCGAUAAUACAAUUAUAUGUUUACCACUUGACUUGGCUGAUAAUUGCCGCUGCUUUCCCCCGUGGAAGCAAACAAAGCGGCGUGCUUAAAAACGUGUGUAGGAGGAAGUUAGUGGCGUAAUCACGAAUGAAUAAAAAGUAAAAAAAUAAGUCCCCCCCCUGCUUCCCCCCUCCCCGCCCUCCUCUCCCCGACCCCACCCCUCCCUGCCUCCCUUGCAUCUGUGCGUUGGUUGUCGUGGACGAGGCGGCGUGGACGUCCUCUCGCUGUGUGUGUGUGUGUGUGUGUGUGCUGUGGGUGUCUCCUUGCUGCUGCUGCAGGGCCUCAGCUGCUGCCAUGUGGUCCAGUCGUUCUCCAUCAACCUUCACUCUCACGCCACCGAGACGGUGGACGCCUGCAGAGUGGCUCCAUUCAUUCAGAUUUAUUAAACACGGUAGCACUGAAGAUGUUUUUUUUGUACCCAGACUGUUUCCUACCUUGCUGUAAAGACGUGUGACUGGACCGUUUUUUCUGAUGACUCGAAGACUGAAGCAUUGUCUCCUUUCACUGUAGCGCUGACUUGUCUGCUGACGGUGACACUGGGAUGAGGUUGUGUAACUGACGUCAAGCUUUCGCUGAUAAAAAAACUACUGAUUGUUCUGAAGGUAACCGGGGCGCCAAAGCUGCAUGCGUUCAGUCAUUUCAGCUCCAGCAGGGAUGUGAAUGUUAUGUUCUGCUCCUGUGUGUCGUGUUUCUAUCAAUAAAUUGUGGCUGUGAACAUAAACGAAUCCCUCUCUUGAAAUCUAAAUGUGAAACCAAGCUUUAAUUGACACCAUUGACGUUCAUGUGAGAAGAGGCCUCAAUGCCGUUUCAAGAAUAAACAUGAUUUAAUGAU